UAAGUAGAAGCCAAAAUAUGAGGCACUUGUUUGUUAAUCAAGUAAUUGUAAUAUGAAGUUACCUGCUUAG
rnacentral:tRNA from 1 species